GAUAGAUACUUCUUCCCCCUAACCGCGCAAAGACGAAAAUGGCGACGGGGGUUCCUCUUCCCCGACCAGAGCAAGAGUCAGAGUCAGAGCCAGAGCCAGCGCCAGAGCCAGAGUCAGGGCGUGCCAUGUUUCUGUGCCACAGAGAGCAAAGACGAAGGCGGCGGCGUUCCUCAUCUCCUCCCGGAUCAGAGACAGCGCGUGCCAUGCCUGCGCCUUAGAUCUCAUGAUUGGCAUGCGCACCAGACUUCUCAUAGAUCUACGGUCUCCUUGGGCGUUCUGGAGCUGAAAGGUGGCACCUUCCGCCGAGAUACGGUGGGUCUACGUGUAUUCAGGUACUUGACAGCAGUCAUCCUCCUUUGGAAGCUGAAUAACGAAGUAGAUCUAUUCUUAUGAAAUAUAAUUGAGGAUGGAGUCUGUUGAGGCGAAGGCGAAGACGCUACCCUUCACGCGAAGCCUUCGUCGUUUCGCUGCACCAACGAAGGCGAGAUGGUCGGCGCAGUUGCCCUUUGUCAUCUCCAUCGCAAGACGAAGGCCAGAUUCAGACUCCGACGUAGUCUGUUAGUCCCGCGUCCUCGUCUCGCCCGGAGGCCCACGCGGAAUUUGGCCCACUGUAAGUCUGUAACGGGCCCCGCGUGGACAAGCAUAUUACGGGCCUCAUCUGUAAUAGCUUUUCUGUAAUAACGGUCUGUAACCUCCUUUUAUGAGAAUAUUAUAGGGAUAGUCCGGGUAUCCGAGGGCAUAAACAUCCUUGUCUUGGGACGUUGGACACUCGGGUACCUAUAAAUACCCCCGUACAGUGCCCUUGAGAGGCCAGAUUAACAGAGCAAUUACCAUCCCACAUUAAACUUU